rnacentral:rRNA from 1 species
AUGAACGCUGGCGGCGUGCUUAACACCUGCCAGUCGCACGAAGCACUUUAUUUGAUUUCCUUCGGGACUGAUUAUUUUGUGACUGAGUGGCGGACGGGUGAGUAACGCGUGGGUAACCUGCCUUGUACAGGGGGAUAACAGUUGGAAACGGCUGCUAAUACCGCAUAAGCGCACGGCAUCGCAUGAUGCAGUGUGAAAAACUCCGGUGGUAUAAGAUGGACCCGCGUUGGAUUAGCUAGUUGGUGAGGUAACGGCCCACCAAGGCGACGAUCCAUAGCCGACCUGAGAGGGUGACCGGCCACAUUGGGACUGAGACACGGCCCAAACUCCUACGGGAGGCAGCAGUGGGGAAUAUUGCACAAUGGGCGAAAGCCUGAUGCAGCGACGCCGCGUGAGCGAAGAAGUAUUUCGGUAUGUAAAGCUCUAUCAGCAGGGAAGAUAAUGACGGUACCUGACGAAGAAGCACCGGCUAAAUACGUG